CGGAAGAUAAAUAUAUGGCUGUAAUCGCUCACGUAAAAAAAAAAAGGGUCCAAUUUUUACUUUCCCACUCUUCCUAACUGCUAUCAUUUUGCCAUAAUUGCGAAUUUCACCUUUCUAAUACACACUGCAAACCCGUGGAUCUGUAUUCAUCCUCUUUGAUGGCUGCUCCACCUGCAAUGGCUAGAGCUGAUUAUGAUUACCUUUAAAUAUUUCCAUAUUGGUGAUAGAGCUUUCGUGUUGCUGGAAACUGAGUGGAAUUGGAUGCUUAUAACGCGAGACAGUUGAUGCAGGAGAAAGUACGGAGGAAAAGAGAUAUAGGAAGUCUCAUUCUUGAGUUGAGCAGUUUUUUCCUUGGAUGCUUAUAAAGUCUGAAAUUCCACCAUUGGCCAAUGUUAGAAAUACUGCAUCAUGAUAGUCGUCUUUACACCCCGAACAACCUAUAACAUAUGUUUUCUGAGUUGUGUUGUUAGGAAAAUUUGGAGUAUUUAUAGUUCAUAGUAAUUUCCUCACUGGAUGGUCGACCAUUGUGAUUGGUAAAAGAGGAUAUUGACAAACACGUAAGGUUGUUCUACUAGAUGGUCAGUAGUUUCUAGAGAGGAGAUAAUACUUAAGGGCGCCUUCUUAGCUAGCCUCGGAGAUGGAAGAAAGACGGCUAUGGAGAUCAAUCGAUUAACAUUUCAAUAUCCUUAAAAUUUUCAUGGCUUCCGUUCUUCGUACCUCCACUAAUUCAUGGAUUCCGAUUAAUUCUUAUGAAAAACCUAAUUUUUUCAGGCGACCUUUUCUGGGUUCAUGCUAAGAGGGAUACGGUCCAGAGUAUGCAACGUAUGAUUGAUACUAUGUGGAACUAGACGGUUAUAAUGCUUCGGUCCUGGGGAUGCGUGAUGGACAUAAAAUCAAAUGUUAUGAGUUGCGCAUCAGCUUCUUAGUUAUGUACGAAAUGAUAGUGUUUAUUUGGAAAUUUAUGGAUGGUGGAAAGGCAAAAGACAAUCUGCAUGAGGUAACAAUUGGGAUUAUUGCUAGCUAUAUUUACAGUUUAAUUAUUGUGAAAAAUGUGGCUUGGAGAUUUUCCCCGAUGGAAAACUAUCCAUUUUUACUCUCCAAGGUUGCAAAAGUAGAAAGCUCGAUCUUUGCCUUAUUUGGAGAACAAGGGAAGCAUUUUCCCCUAUUAGUUCCCUUUUUCCCGAGUUAUUUUAUCUUUUAAACUUAUGAGGGUCGGGCUGCAUUAUAAAGCAUGACAGCGGAUUCCAAGUUCUGGGGUCUGUAGCAUUAGUCAGAGUUGAGGCAUGUAAGUUGCGACCGCUUCAUGUCACUGAAAAAGAAGAUUACACCAUGUUCAGAUUCUGUCAUUGCUAUUUGAUUUUGAUAGGUACCCGAUUCCCAUCUGCAAAUUUUAGCGAUCUGUGUAUGUUUGCUUAAUUUGCACAGUUGUAUUGUUACUUCUUAAUUUGAAAUCUUUAGAUCGUUAUUAUCUUA